UACGAAGGGGGCUAGCGUUGUUCGGAAUUACUGGGCGUAAAGCGCACGUAGGCGGAUAUUUAAGUCAGGGGUGAAAUCCCGGGGCUCAACCCCGGAACUGCCUUUGAUACUGGGUAUCUCGAGUCCGAGAGAGGUGAGUGGAAUUCCGAGUGUAGAGGUGAAAUUCGUAGAUAUUCGGAGGAACACCAGUGGCGAAGGCGGCUCACUGGCUCGGUACUGACGCUGAGGUGCGAAAGUGUGGGGAGCAAACAGG
rnacentral:rRNA from 1 species